AGGGGGACGGGAGGGACCUUGAGCGGCGAGCGAGGUGUGGAGAAAAGGCGCUGGGGUGAAGUGUGUUCUGGUCCCGGCGGUGGAGCAAGGAGCUUGACGGUGUUCUGAAUUGCUACAAUGAGAGGUAGCUCCCAAACCUUCUCUAGCGGAGCUUGUCUUACUCGCUCUUCACACAUGAUCCAGCUUCCCCAAACAAAAUUCCAAAUGAAAAGCAGAACGUAUUCUACAAGCAUAAAUUUUGUAAAUAUGUUAUCUGCUAGUUAUAUGGUGGGUUUGUGUAAUUCUUGGGCUUUUUUUACACCUGUGGCAUGACUUAUUGAAGACACUGGUUUGGUUUGAGUUUUGGGGAUUUUUUUUCACAACGUAUUGAAGAAAUUAUUCAUGUGGUAGCAGGCAACAGAUUGCAUUUUAAAUUAGGAGCAAACAAAACGUUGCAAUCUUUCCUGAAAGAAGACUAAAGGGGUUGCCAUGGAAAUUGUUCUAAUUCGUGAUCCACUACAACAACAAACAUUUAAUUUGUGAUUUUUUCGUUCUAAAUCUAGAUCUCAUCAGAAUCUUGCAAAGACAGUCAAGAGUACGGCAUUAUGUUUUCAUAGACUUCAUAAAUUUAUUAUUUUCUCAUAGUUUUAAAAAAUGGAACCUCUAAAUUUAGAUUUAAACAGCUCUGAAGUUUGAGGUAGUUCAUGUCAUGGUGAACUUUUAGCUAAAAUCCUUGUUUUAUUAAAAGAGGAGUUUGUGCAGUGGUGGAAAAAACAAUAUUAUUCCAGAAAUAUGCAGCUAAUUUUCAUCUUUGUUGCCGUGCCAUUCCAUGCAAUAGAAGAUAUUUUAAGAAGUAUAUUGACAUUAAAUAGUUAAUCUUUGAACCUAUGUUUAAAAGAUCUGUGCUUGAGAGCUCAGGCUGUAGCCUGGAGCCACAUUUCUUACGCAGCCUUUGUACAACCUUGCAUUAUAAAAAAUUUACUCAAGAAUAAAUUUUCAUGGCAACAGCAAUAUUGCAGAUUUUUUUUCCAAUUAAUUAAUUGCAUAUUGCUUUUGUUUAUUCACUAUACCGUGAUAGCAAUUAUCAUUCCUCUUCUGCAAUGUGGGGCUUUCAAAAAUUUCAAAAAUGCCCAUUUAGAGAUUUGAAAGCCUACAUUUCACAUUCCAGUUGUGUUUUCUGGGGUAAGGUCAAUUGAGAAGAAGAAUUUUAGUUGACAGUUGGGUUUUUUUAAGUAAAAUCUAAACUUCCAUUACUGGUUAGAUAGAAAGUUAUUAUUUCCAAUAGAGAAGAAAUAUUAACAAGAAAGCAUUUUGAGCAUAGAUUUUUAAAUAGAUCAAUUUCCUCCUCUGAGGAAAUGAGAAGAAUUGAUUUUAAAUAAGGAUAUUUAAGAUGGGAAGUUUUUCACCAGAAAACACAGCAUGUUGUUGGAAAAGUAAUUGCAAUAUUUGCCUUAAAGUCCAAUUAUAAAACUAAUCCAAACAUCAGCCUUUUAUUUUGUUAUUUUCAUUAGGAACUGACUUCAUUUUACUGAAAUAUUAUUUUUUUAAAAAAAAUCUAACAGAACUUGUUCAUUUCCACAUUGAGUUUUUAUAUUUAUUUGCAUUAUAUUGCCUAUAGUAGCAAUAUAGAUAACACUUCAGUAUCAUAAAAUUGGGCAUUAAAGAAAAAUAUGGGUAUACACUACUUUCAUAAAGCAUUAAUUCAGCUUUCCUGUGGGUGGACCUCAUUAAAGUCUGUGGUAGGGGCAUGCUAAUGUUUGCAAAAUGGCAUGUAGCAGCUGUAGGAAUCUCUGGACCCUUGUUAUUAUAAAGAGUACUACUUUCCACAAAAAACCUCUUUGAAUUCAGUGAAUUGUUUAUUUGAGUAAGUUUUUUGGCAUCAGAUAACUCGUGUAGUAUGCUAGUAGUUUAUUUAUCUGUUCAUUCUUUUCUUAUAUUUAUCUGCAGUCUAAAAGCAUUUAAAUCCCCAGACUAUUUUUUCAAAGUUAUAUUGAUGGUUUACCUUUUGAAAAACAGCAAUUACAUUGUAGUACAUUAAAAAAAUCUACAUUUUUGAAAAGACUUCUAAAUACAGUCAGCUAAAGUGUAAUUUUAAAAACAUGUGCAACUGGAAUCUGCAAUUUCAACAAUAGCUGUAAUUUUAUUUGUAAUUUGCAGACUGCCCGAGGUACAAAAGAGGUCUUACUCUUUUAAAGUCUAAAGGACUUCAAGACAAAAAAAGCAGUUCAACUGCAACGAUAUCAUUUCAAAAAUAAAUUUGGACACAGCACGUUCUUCCAUCUGCAGCCCAGAGCCAAGGAGCAUCCCAUAAGUCUGGACCAAACAGUGCCAGUACGAGACGCUGGCUCUGUUCAGUGCCAGUCUGCGUGGAGCACCCCAGAAACAGCACGGAGAAGACCAAGGGGUGGCCUUCAGUGUGGUGUUGGUAGAAGAGGGCAGAACUAAUAUCACUUCAGUGCUGAGCCAGUGACACUUAAUGAGGCCCUUCAAGUUAUGCUGGACCUUCAAAUGAAGAGCAAGAACAACAGAGUCUGUUAAAAGUAUGUUUUGCUUCCUUCCCUCUCAGAUGAGCAGGACAAAAAAGCUUACAACUCCAGUUUUGAUGUAUUUACUGACUUACACAAGAUGGCCAUUAGCGUUGAUCAGAGGCAAUUUUUUCUGGUUUUGUUCAAUUUCUUUCUAAAAUGUUGUCAUUUACGAAGAGAUAAACAGUCUGUAAAUGUAAAUCCAUAGGUUUUUUUACAGUUCUUACAUAAACAACUAAGGCCUCUCAAAUCACUGAAGGUCAUUAAAAUUUAAUGCUGUGUAAAGUUCAGUGAUCAAUGUAUCCAUUUAGUAAACAUACCUUUUUGUACAA